rnacentral:tRNA from 1 species
AGUAACUUAGCAGAAUGUAUGCGAUUGAUUUAGGUUCAAUAGAUAACUUAGGUUAGUUAUUA